rnacentral:rRNA from 1 species
CCUACGGGAGGCAGCAGUGAGGAAUAUUGGUCAAUGGACGAGAGUCUGAACCAGCCAAGUAGCGUGAAGGAUGACUGCCCUAUGGGUUGUAAACUUCUUUUAUAUGGGAAUAAAACGUUCCACGUGUGGGAUUUUGUAUGUACCAUAUGAAUAAGGAUCGGCUAACUCCGUGCCAGCAGCCGCGGUAAUACGGAGGAUCCGAGCGUUAUCCGGAUUUAUUGGGUUUAAAGGGAGCGUAGGUGGAUUGUUAAGUCAGUUGUGAAAGUUUGCGGCUCAACCGUAAAAUUGCAGUUGAAACUGGCAGUCUUGAGUACAGUAGAGGUGGGCGGAAUUUGUGGUGUAGCGGUGAAAUGCUUAGAUAUCACGAAGAACUCCGAUUGCGAAGGCAGUUCACUGGACUGCAACUGACACUGAGGCUCGAAAGUGUGGGUAUCAAACAGGAUUAGAUACCCUAGUAGUC